GCGGGUGUGGCGGAAUUGGUAGACGCGCAAGGUUUAGGUCCUUGUUUUCUUAGGAAAGUGGGGGUUCAAGUCCCUUCACCCGCACCA
rnacentral:tRNA from 3 species